AUUGAACGCUGGCGGCAGGCCUAACACAUGCAAGUCGAGCGGAUGAACGGAGCUUCCUCCUGGAUUUAGCGGCGGACGGGUGCGUAAUGCCUAAGACUCUUCCUCGUAGUCGCGGAUAACGUCCCUCCACGGGCGCUACUACCGCAUACGAUCUGACGUCGAACGUCUGGGACCUUCGACCCUCACGCCUUCAGAUGAGCCUAGGUCGCGUUCGCUAGUUGGUGGGGUAAAGGCCUACCAAGGCGACGAUCCGUAACUGGUCUGAGAGGAUGAUCAGGCACACGGGAAGUGAGACACGGUCCAGACCCCUACGGGAGGCAGCAGUCGGGAAUAUUGGACAGUGGGCGAAAGCCCGCACCAGCCAUGCGCCGUGUGUGUAGAAGGUCCCCGGAUGGUAAAGCACUUUAAGUUGGGAGCAAGGGGAGUAAGUUAAUACCUUGCUGUGUUGACGUUACCAACAGAAUAAGCACCGGCUAACUUCGUG
rnacentral:rRNA from 1 species